CCUACUUGUGUUGGGGUGGCAGUCCUGCUUAGACCUGCAUGCUGCUCAGGAGCUGUGGAGUUUACCCGUCUGCCUUCUCCCUGUACCAGCAGUGUCUCCACCAAGCCAGCCUGAAGCAAAGGAUGCAAAUGGCCCCACCUGGAGGAGGGAUGGUGCUACUUGCAGAGGGACCCGCAGGGACACCGUGGGACUGCCCGCAGCACAGCUCCUCUGGCACUGCCUGGGCAGGGAACCCCGCAGUCCAGCACAAGCCAGCUCCCACCAGCACAUCAGCCUCUUGCAGCGUCUGGAUCCGAGCUGUUGCUAAUGAGGAUGGUGCUCAUCAUGUGAUCGUGCCUUUGGGCAAGGGUGGUGGUGCUGCUAAUUGGCUUCUCUGGCUGCGGUUUCCUUAGGAAACAAGGUUAAAGCAACUCACAGCUCAAAAAU
ensembl:lncRNA